GAUGAACGCUGGCGGCGUGCCUAAUACAUGCAAGUCGAGCGAACGGACGAGAAGCUUGCUUUUCUGAUGUUAGCGGCGGACGGGUGAGUAACACGUGGAUAACCUACCUAUAAGACUGGGAUAACUUCGGGAAACCGGAGCUAAUACCGGAUAAUAUUUCGAACCGCAUGGUUCAAAAGUGAAAGACGGUCUUGCUGUCACUUAUAGAUGGAUCCGCGCUGCAUUAGCUAGUUGGUAAGGUAACGGCUUACCAAGGCAACGAUGCAUAGCCGACCUGAGAGGGUGAUCGGCCACACUGGAACUGAGACACGGUCCAGACUCCUACGGGAGGCAGCAGUAGGGAAUCUUCCGCAAUGGGCGAAAGCCUGACGGAGCAACGCCGCGUGAGUGAUGAAGGUCUUCGGAUCGUAAAACUCUGUUAUUAGGGAAGAACAUAUGUGUAAGUAACUGUGCACAUCUUGACGGUACCUAAUCAGAAAGCCACGGCUAACUACGUG
rnacentral:rRNA from 1 species